rnacentral:lncRNA from 10 species
AAUAUUUACAUUUAAGAUAAUUAUUAUGAUGACACUUGUCUGCCUCUUUAAUAUUUGACUAUUAGUUUUUUUUUAAUUAUACUUUAAGUUUUAGGGUACAUGUGCACAACGUGCAGGUUUGUUACAUGUAUAUACAUGUCCCAUGUUGGUGUGCUAUACCCAUUAACUCGUCAUUUAACAUUAGACUUCUAUUAGUUUUGUUUGCUCAUUCGGUAGGUAGGUUGGUGGGUCUGGGAAAGGGGAAUGCUAAUUUACUGGGGAUGAAAUCAUAGGGCUGUCUCUGGGGACACUGGCUUAUACCUGUAAUUCCAGCACUUUGUGGGAGAAUCACUUGAGCUCAGGAGUUCAAGACCAGAGAAACUCCAUCUCUACACAAAAAUUAGCCAAGAGUGGUGGUGCACACCUGUGGUUACAGCUACUCAGGAGGCUGAGGUAGAAGGAUCAUUUCAACCAGGGAGGUCAAGGCUGCAGUGAGCCAAGACUGUGUCACUGCACUCUAGCCUGGGCGACAAGUGAGACCCUGUCUCAAAAAAAAAAAAAAAAUCGGGGAUAUGGAAAAUAGACCCUGUGUGCUGUGUACACUACUCAGUGGGGGCCAGAGAACCGGUUGAAUCAUGAGUUGCAGGUCCAGAUAAAGUCAUCUAGUUGUUAGAAAUGCAAAAGUCUGAAAAGACAUCUCAGAAAGCCAUUCUUAAGUUUUACAAUAGUGAUGUUACUUACUGGAAUAAUUGAGGAAGUUAUAAAUCUUGUGACUUCUGCACCAAUAGAUGAUUAUCCUGUAACUACGCCUACAUUUUAGCAGAAUUUGGGCCCCUCUCAUAAUCCUAACCUUGUGGACUCUCAUUAGUUUUACAAAAGCAGUUUAGUUUUGGGAAGGGCUAUUAUCAUUUAAACUAAAUGAUAUUUAACUAUAAACUAAAUUUCUCCCAAAGUUAGCUUGAUCCAGAGCAGUUUGGAGGCAAAAGGCAAGAUAGAGUUGAUUAGAU